rnacentral:rRNA from 1 species
AACGAACGCUGGCGGCAUGCCUAACACAUGCAAGUCGAACGAGACCUUCGUGUCUAUUGGCGCACGGGUGCGUAACGCGUGGGAACCUGCCCUUAGGUUCGGAAUACCUCCCCGAAAGGGGUGCUAAUACCGGAUAAUGUCUUCGGACCAAAGAUUUAUCGCCUUUGGAUGGGCCCGCGUUGGAUUAGCUAGUUGGUAGGGUAAAAGCCUACCAAGGCGACGAUCCAUAGCUGGUCUGAGAGGAUGAUCAGCCACACUGGGACUGAGACACGGCCCAGACUCCUACGGGAGGCAGCAGUGGGGAAUAUUGGACAAGGGGCGAAAGCCUGAUCCAGCAAUGCCGGGUGAGUGAUGAAGGCCUUAGGGUUGUAAAGCUCUUUUACCCGGGAUGAUAAUGACAGUACCGGGAGAAUAAGCUCCGGCUAACUCCGUG